ACAAGCGGUGGAUGAUGUGGAUUAAUUCGAUGCAACGCGAAAACCUUACUACCCUUGACAUGUCCGGAAUCCUGCAGAGAUGCGGGAGUGCCGAAAGGGAAUCGGAACACAGGUGCUGCAUGGCUGUCGUCAGCUCGUGUCGUGAGAUGUUGGGUUAAGUCCCGCAACGAGCGCAACCCUUAUCAUUAGUUGCUACGCAAGGGCACUCUAAUGAGACUGCCGGUGACAAACCGGAGGAAGGUGGGGAUGACGUCAAGUCCUCAUGGCCCUUAUGGGUAGGGCUUCACACGUCAUACAAUGGUCGGUACAGAGGGUUGCCAAGCCGCGAGGUGGAGCCAAUCCCAGAAAGCCGAUCGUAGUCCGGAUUGUUCUCUGCAACUCGAGAGCGUGAAGUCGGAAUCGCUAGUAAUCGCGGAUCAGCAUGUCGCGGUGAAUACGUUCCCGGGUCUU
rnacentral:rRNA from 1 species